rnacentral:tRNA from 1 species
GGCGGGGUGCCGGAGCGGUCGAACGGGGCGGUCUUGAAAACCGCUGGGCCUUCGCGGGCCUCGUGGGUUCGAAUCCCACCCCCGCCG